GACGAACGCUGGCGGCGUGCCUAAUACAUGCAAGUCGAACGCAUUUUCUUUCACCGUAGCUUGCUACACCGAAAGAAAAUGAGUGGCGAACGGGUGAGUAACACGUGGGUAACCUGCCCAUCAGCGGGGGAUAACACUUGGAAACAGGUGCUAAUACCGCAUAAUUCCAUUUACCGCAUGGUAGAUGGAUGAAAGGCGCUUUUGCGUCACUGAUGGAUGGACCCGCGGUGCAUUAGCUAGUUGGUGGGGUAACGGCCUACCAAGGCUGCGAUGCAUAGCCGACCUGAGAGGGUGAUCGGCCACACUGGGACUGAGACACGGCCCAGACUCCUACGGGAGGCAGCAGUAGGGAAUCUUCGGCAAUGGACACAAGUCUGACCGAGCAACGCCGCGUGAGUGAAGAAGGGUUUCGGAUCGUAAAACUCUGUUGUUAGAGAAGAACAAGGAUGAGAGUGGAAAGUUCAUCCCUUGACGGUAUCUAACCAGAAAGCCACGGCUAACUACGUG
rnacentral:rRNA from 1 species